CGGCGGACGGGUGAGUAAUGCCUAGGAAUCUGCCUGGUAGUGGGGGACAACGUUUCGAAAGGAACGCUAAUACCGCAUACGUCCUACGGGAGAAAGCAGGGGACCUUCGGGCCUUGCGCUAUCAGAUGAGCCUAGGUCGGAUUAGCUAGUUGGUGAGGUAAUGGCUCACCAAGGCGUUACGAUCCGUAACUGGUCUGAGAGGAUGAUCAGUCACACUGGAACUGAGACACGGUCCAGACUCCUACGGGAGGCAGCAGAC
rnacentral:rRNA from 1 species